AACAGCUCCUUGAAAGGGGAAAGUGUGAUCUUCAGAUGUCCUCUGGAUCAGUUACAGCCAAGCAGUUUCAAAGCAGUCACGCACUUAAACAUGUUUGGCAACUGGACAGAAAAUAGAAAAGGGGAAUUCCUGGCCUGGAGGACUGAAGUCAUUUUGUAGCCACGGCAUAAACUUCCCCAGUUCCCUUUAAUCCGCACAUGCAUGUAAUCAUCGUGUUUUCCUUUGCCAGUAGCUAACCUCCUCCUGCCCGUCACAAAUUCCAGAACGGACACGAAAUAUUUUAAACUUCCUUGACAAUAAUUAUUGGUUUUUAAGUUGAAGAAUAACAACAAUGUCGGAUCUUAAAUCGUAGCGGCACUGAGUCAGUUGCAAACACCUGGAAGAUUUAUCACGGAUUUUGGUGCUAACCACGGCGCUACCCCAGUUACAACUCGGGUCACAUGACGCUGCGCUGUACGUGAACUCAGGGGCACUGGUUCACACAGGUGUGCGCCAACAGGUGUGAGUCCGGCCCCUGCCGGUGAGUGCGAUUAGUUCCACGUGGGGGAUGACAGAACAAAACAGACAGAAAAUAGAUCUUUUAGAGCAGGAAAUUAAAACCCAUCUCAAGUGUCGCCGGCGAGGGUUCGCCGAUGGUUUUACUCCAGUGCGAUGGCAGCUAGUCCGCCCGCCUCCUGCUUGAAUAUCAUUUCCUCAUCAGUACAGAUCUGCUCGUUUCAAGACACAUCAUGGGAUGCUGUUGCUCACUGACUUCUUUGUUACUCACAUAGGUCUUUCUUAUCUUUGUAUUUUGAACUAUAUCAUUAUUGCUUAUAUUUAUACAUGAUUCAUUUUAUUAAAAAACAAAACAAAAAGGGGUACUAAUUGUUGUUAAAAAAUCCUUUGAUUUUUCCCUUGAUAACUUUUUGAAUUUCAACAUUUUUUACAUUUGUUUCUAACAUGUUUGAAAACUAUGGAUGCUGUUGAAUCAUUGCUGUAUCCACAUUUUCAACUCCAUUAGGGUGAAAUAGAGCAUUUUUGCAUUCAGAGGAAAUAUCUGAGGGUGGCAGACUGGCACAGAGGUUAGCAAUGCUGUCUUGCAUCAGCAGAGCCCCAUCUUGAGUCUCGGGGGUGCUCUCUGCGUGGGGUUUGUAUGUUCUCCCUGAGUUUCCUCCAGGUUUCCUCCCACAGUCCAAAG